AAUCAACGCUGGCGGCGUGCCUCAGACAUGCAAGUCGAACGAUUAAGACUUCCUUCGGGAAGUGCAUAAAGUGGCGCACGGGUGAGUAACACGUAAGUAACCUGCCCCCCAGUCUGGAACAACUAGAGGAAACUCUAGCUAAUGCCGGAUGAGACCACGAUCCCUUCGGGGGUUGCGGCCAAAAGAUGGCCUCUACUUGUAAGCUAUCGCUGAGGGAUGGGCCUGCGGGCCAUUAGCUUGUUGGUGAGGUAACGGCUCACCAAGGCUGUGAUGGCUAGCUGGUCUGAGAGGAUGACCAGCCACACUGGGACUGAGACACGGCCCAGACUCCUACGGGAGCAGCAGUGGGGAAUAUUGCGCAAUGGGCGAAAGCCUGACGCAGCGACGCCGCGUGGGUGAUGAAGGCC
rnacentral:rRNA from 1 species